rnacentral:lncRNA from 1 species
AACUUGGUCCUCCUUCGAGGAGACUGUAGGUUGCUUCUCCCAGCGCGAGACUAAAACACGUUAUUUUAUGCAUUACUUUCUUUCUUUCUUUCUUUGUAUAUUUUCAGCACCGCCACAACAAUAGUACAUUGUUAAAUAAAGCCAUCAACACCUAUCUCUAUCACCUCCUCAAAGCAAAGCAAUCCCACCUCCACCUCCACCUCCCUUUGCUUUCCCCUUUCCUUUCUUUUUCUAUCUUUUCUCUCUCUCUCUCAUUUGAAUUCUCUUUUAUUCUUAUAAUAAACCCUACAAGGUAUCUUCUCUACUAAGACCACCACCUUCCUUUCCUAUCUCUAACUCCUCAAGAACAAAAAUAUCUAUUAUAUAUUUACAUGUUAAAUAAAAUUAAUUAAGGGUUUUUCUUUUAUGCUUCAUUUAUAUAUAAAAAUUCCAUUUUGCAUGGCUAGUGAUGUAAUGUCUUUCACCAUCUUCUUCUUUCUCCUUAUCACUACUAUUAUUCCCAUCACCUCUAUGGCCAGUGACAGAGAGCAUAAUUUCCAGGAUUUGACAAAAAACGACAAUCAGUUUUCCCCAAGAAGACUCGGUCCGGCCAAUGCAAGGGUUUCAAAAGGUAAUACUCAUAAUAGUAGACAGAAAGAAGGGUUUAUUAGCAGAUCUCCAUUGCCCUGGCAAGAAAGGAUCUUUAACUCAAGCUUUCAUGAAGUUCCAAGUGGUCCAAAUCCCAUUUCAAAUAGGUGAAAGAAAGAUAGAAUCCGAAGACAGAACGUCAUUUCAUCUUCUUCUUCCUGUUUUUGGUUUGUGUCGUUUUGCCCUUUUUUCUUUUCUUUUCUUUUCUUUACAUAUAUAUAUACAGGUAAUUAGCAAUUUAGGAUUGUGAGAUCACUACAGUUGAUUCAUAUUAUUAUUGUUUUCCAAACAGAACCUAUCUACCAAUCAUUUAACCAUGAGAAUGAGAUCACAUGUAUAUGAUAAUGAUAUGAUUAUGAUAUGUUUUGGGAAUUUCUUUUUAAUGAUGUACAAUAGUCAUGAUUAUAUAUAUAUAUGCCACAUUUCUUCUUUAUCUUCUCCUCUUAAUUAUGGCUGCAAUUAAUUAAUUAUACUUAAUCAUUAUAUGUAAUGUUCUUUCUUUUUAAUUUUUUUCCUCUAUGUACUAAAUUUAGUCAAA